CCUACGGGAGGCAGCAGUGAGGAAUAUUGGUCAAUGGACGAGAGUCUGAACCAGCAAAGUAGCGUGAAGGAUGACUGCCCUAUGGGUUGUAAACUUCUUUUAUAUGGGAAUAAAAUGUUCCACGUGUGGGAUUUUGUAUGUACCAUAUGAAUAAGGAUCGGCUAACUCCGUGCCAGCAGCCGCGGUAAUACGGAGGAUCCGAGCGUUAUCCGGAUUUAUUGGGUUUAAAGGGAGCGUAGGUGGAUUGUUAAGUCAGUUGUGAAAGUUUGCGGCUCAACCGUAAAAUUGCAGUUGAAACUGGCAGUCUUGAGUACAGUAGAGGUGGGCGGAAUUCGUGGUGUAGCGGUGAAAUGCUUAGAUAUCACGAAGAACUCCGAUUGCGAAGGCAGUUCACUGGACUGCAACUGACACUGAGGCUCGAAAGUGUGGGUAUCAAACAGGAUUAGAUACCCCAGUAGUC
rnacentral:rRNA from 1 species